AGCAACACGUGAGUGACCUGCCUUUUAGACUGGAACAACUUACCGAAAGGUGAGCUAAUGCCGGAUGAGUUAUAUAAGUGCAUGUUUAUAUAGGAAAAGUUGGGGAGACCUGACGCUGAAAGAUGGACUCGCGUCCCAUUAGCUAGUUGGUAGGGUAAUGGCCUACCAAGGCGACGAUGGGUAGCCGGCCUGAGAGGGUGGCCGGCCACACUGGGACUGAGACACGGCCCAGACUCCUACGGAAGGCAGCAG
rnacentral:rRNA from 1 species